rnacentral:rRNA from 1 species
AGGAAAAGAAACCAACAGGGAUUGCCUCAGUAACGGCGAGUGAAGCGGCAAAAGCUCGAAUUUGAAAUCCUCUUCGGAGGAGUUGUAAUUUGAAGCUGGUUCUUUAGGGAGUUUUGUUUUUGGCUGCGGAAGUGCCUUGGAACAGGCCGCCGUGGAGGGUGAGAGCCCCGUAUCGUGGCCAGCAAGAUUUUCGUAUAAGGGCUAGCGAAGAGUCGAGUUGUUUGGGAAUGCAGCUCUAAGUGGGUGGUAUAUUCCAUCUAAGGCUAAAUAUGGGCGAGAGACCGAUAGCAAACAAGUACAGUGAUGGAAAGAUGAAAAGAACUUUGAAAAGAGAGUGAAAAAGUACGUGAAAUUGUUGAAAGGGAAGGGUAUUUGAUCCGACAUGGUAUUUAGAUGUCGCUUGCCCCCGUGGCGGGCGCUCCAUCUUUUUACUGGGCCAGCAUCGGUGCUGGGCGGGACAGGAGGUUUCUGUGAAUGUAGCCCUUCGGGGAACUUAUAGAACAGGAUUCAUACGUCUCUCCCCGGUACCGAGGACUGCGGGAAACCAAGGAUGCUGGCAUAACGAGCAAAUACCGCCCGUCUUGAA